rnacentral:rRNA from 1 species
GACGAACGCUGGCGGCGUGCCUAAUACAUGCAAGUAGGACGCUGAAGGAGGAGCUUGCUUCUCUGGAUGAGUUGCGAACGGGUGAGUAACGCGUAGGUAACCUGCCUGGUAGCGGGGGAUAACUAUUGGAAACGAUAGCUAAUACCGCAUAAUAGUAGAUGUUGCAUGACAUUUGCUUAAAAGGUGCAAUUGCAUCACUACCAGGUGGACCUGCGUUGUAUUAGCUAGUUGGUGGGGUAACGGCUCACCAAGGCGACGAUACAUAGCCGACCUGAGAGGGUGAUCGGCCACACUGGGACUGAGACACGGCCCAGACUCCUACGGGAGGCAGCAGUAGGGAAUCUUCGGCAAUGGACGGAAGUCUGAACGAGCAACGCCGCGUGAGUGAAGAAGGUUUUCGGAUCGUAAAGAUCUGUUGUAAGAGAAGAACGAGUGUGAGAGUGGAAAGUUCACACUGUGACGGUAUCUUACCAGAAAGGGACGGCUAACUACGUG